rnacentral:rRNA from 1 species
UACAGAGGGUGCUAGCGUUAUUCGGAUUUAUUGGGCGUAAAGCGCAUGUAGGUGGUUUCAUAAGUCUGGUGUGAAAGCCCUGGCUUCAAGUCAGGAAGUGCAUUGGAUACUGUGAGACUAGAGUGUAGGAGAGGAUGACGGAAUUCCUGGUGUAGAGGUGAAAUUCGUAGAUAUUAGGAGGAACACCAGUGGCGAAGGCGGCUCACUGGUCCGGUACUGACGCUGAGGUGCGAAAGCGUGGGGAGCAAACAGG